rnacentral:tRNA from 1 species
UGUUUAGAUAGUGAAUGGAGUUCUUCCAUUGAUACUGGAAAAAUUGUCUCCUUUCUUUUGUUCCAGUCAUGAUCUGAACGA